rnacentral:rRNA from 1 species
CUUGAAACACGAACCAAGGAGUCUAUCUAGUAUGCAAGUAAAUGAGUAUAUGAAACUUAUUUGCAUAAAAAACUUGACUGUUAUGGGACUACGAGUUAUAUUGUCUUUUCAAUAUAAUUCCUCCAUCCCGGGGUAUUUUUAUCAACAUAUAUGAAUGUAUAUGAAAAAUAUACCAUGAGCAUACUGGAUAUGACCCGAAAGAUGGUGAACUAUGCCUGAUCAGGUUGAAGUCAGGGGAAACCCUGAUGGAGGACCGAAGCAAUUCUGACGUGCAAAUCGAUUGUCAGAAUUGGGCAUAGGGGCGAAAGACCAAUCGAACCAUCUAGUAGCUGGUUCCUUCCGAAGUUUCCCUCAGGAUAGCUGGAGCAUAGAAAUAUCUUUUUCUAACUCAUACCUGGUAAAGCGAAUGAUUAGAGGCCUUAGGAACGAAAUGUUCUUAACCUAUUCUCAAACUUUAAAUGGGUAUGUAAGCUAACAUACUUGAAUGAUGUUGGCCUGGUGAUAAAUAGUAAUAUUUAUCUGUAAGAUUGUAUGCGCCCAGUGGGCCAAGUUUUGGUAAGCAGAACUGGUGCUGCGGGAUGAACCGAACGCAUUGUUAAGGCGCCCAAAUAAACGACGCAUCAUCGAUACCAUGAAAGGUGUUGAUUGCUGAAGACAGCAGGACGGUGGACAUGGAAG